rnacentral:rRNA from 1 species
UCAUAGUACGUGAAACCGUUCAGGGGUAAACCUGAGAAAUCCGAAAGAUCGAAUGGGGACAUUCAGCGCGUCUCGUCUGGCGGCGAGUUCGGGUAGUGAGACUGUUGGGCGUUCGCGCUCAGCCGCUCCUAUCAAAGCCGUACCGCUGGUGAACGCGUGCACUUCUCCCCUAGUAGGACGUCGCGACCCGUUGGGUGCCGGUCUAAGGCCCGCGGUGGAGCCCGUCGGGAUACGGUUCAUCCCGUAUCCUUGCGGACCCGUGGUGUUUCCCCGACCGGCUCGCUCGACGGUAUAACGAUGGCGUAGGGUCGCGAAUGUUCGCGCCCGGCCCGUCGCAAGCGCGACUGUUCGCCCGUCUGUCGGACUUUUGUGCCGACAACGGGCGCGGUCGGCUGCUGGCGUCGGUGUCCUCGGGCGGGCCCAGAUACACGCCCGUCGGCGACGCUUUAGCUUUGGAUACUUUCAGGACCCGUCUUGAAACACGGACCAAGGAGUCUAGCAUGUGCGCGAGUCAUUGGGAUUAUACUAAACCUAAAGGCGAAAUGAAAGUGAAGGCCGCCCUGCGCGUGCCGAGGGAGGACCGGUCGGACUGUCAAGUCCGCGCCGUGCACUCCCGGGGCGUCUCGUUCUCAUCGCGAGUUGAGGCGCACCCAGAGCGUACACGCUGGGACCCGAAAGA